UCGACAACACAUUCUGCACAGCAUCUGAACAAAAGAUAGAGGUAAGUUUAGGGAAAACAAUGGAAAUACCAGUCAUUGUCAAUCAAAAUCAAACUUUUGUGAGUCAUACAUUAUUUGUAACUAAUGUCUAUUUUGUGUUAAUAGACAUAAGAAGAUGAAACAGAAGCGAUAAUGCAACUCACAAGAAAAGCCGAUUGCAGUCAAG